GCUUUUAAAGGAUAACAGCUCAUCCAUUGGUCUUAGGAGCCAAAAACUCUUGGUGCAAAUCCAAGUAAAAGCU
rnacentral:tRNA from 2 species